CAAGUCGAGGGGCAGCAUUUCAGUUUGCUUGCAAACUGGAGAUGGCGACCGGCGCACGGGUGAGUAACACGUAUCCAACCUGCCGAUAACUCGGGGAUAGCCUUUCGAAAGAAAGAUUAAUACCCGAUGGUAUAAUCAGACCGCAUGGUCUUAUUAUUAAAGAAUUUCGGUUAUCGAUGGGGAUGCGUUCCAUUAGGCAGUUGGUGAGGUAACGGCUCACCAAACCUUCGAUGGAUAGGGGUUCUGAGAGGAAGGUCCCCCACAUUGGAACUGAGACACGGUCCAAACUCCUACGGGAGGCAGCAGUGAGGAAUAUUGGUCAAUGGGCGCAGGCCUGAACCAGCCAAGUAGCGUGAAGGAUGACUGCCCUAUGGGUUGUAAACUUCUUUUAUAUGGGAAUAAAGUUUUCCACGUGUGGAAUUUUGUAUGUACCAUAUGAAUAAGGAUCGGCUAACUCCGUGCCAGCAGCCGCGGUAAUACGGAGGAUCCGAGCGUUAUCCGGAUUUAUUGGGUUUAAAGGGAGCGUAGGUGGACAGUUAAGUCAGUUGUGAAAGUUUGCGGCUCAACCGUAAAAUUGCAGUUGAUACUGGCUGUCUUGAGUACAGUAGAGGUGGGCGGAAUUCGUGGUGUAGCGGUGAAAUGCUUAGAUAUCACGAAGAACUCCGAUUGCGAAGGCAGCUCACUGGACUGCAACUGACACUGAUGCUCGAAAGUGUGGGUAUCAAACAGGAUUAGAUACCCUGGUAGUCCACACAGUAAACGAUGAAUACUCGCUGUUUGCGAUAUACAGUAAGCGGCCAAGCGAAAGCAUUAAGUAUUCCACCUGGGGAGUACGCCGGCAACGGUGAAACUCAAAGGAAUUGACGGGGGCCCGCACAAGCGGAGGAACAUGUGGUUUAAUUCGAUGAUACGCGAGGAACCUUACCCGGGCUUAAAUUGCAUUUGAAUAANNUGGAAACAGGUUAGCCGCAAGGCAAAUGUGAAGGUGCUGCAUGGUUGUCGUCAGCUCGUGCCGUGAGGUGUCGGCUUAAGUGCCAUAACGAGCGCAACCCUUAUCUUUAGUUACUAACAGGUCAUGCUGAGGACUCUAGAGAGACUGCCGUCGUAAGAUGUGAGGAAGGUGGGGAUGACGUCAAAUCAGCACGGCCCUUACGUCCGGGGCUACACACGUGUUACAAUGGGGGGUACAGAAGGCAGCUACCUGGUGACAGGAUGCUAAUCCCAAAAGCCUCUCUCAGUUCGGAUCGAAGUCUGCAACCCGACUUCGUGAAGCUGGAUUCGCUAGUAAUCGCGCAUCAGCCAUGGCGCGGUGAAUACGUUCCCGGGCCUUGUACACACCGCCCGUCAAGCCAUGAAAGCCGGGGGUACCUGAAGUACGUAACCGCAAGGAGC
rnacentral:rRNA from 1 species